rnacentral:rRNA from 1 species
UCCUAUGGGGCGCAGCAGGCGCGAAACCUUCGCAAUGCGCGAAAGCGCGACGAGGGGAGCCCGAGUGCCCUUCCAUUCGGGAGGGCUUUUCUGGAGCCUAAAAAGCUCCAGGAAUAAGGGCUGGGCAAGACGGGUGCCAGCCGCCGCGGUAAUACCCGCAGCUCGAGUGGUGGCCACUAUUAUUGAGCCUAAAGCGUCCGUAGCCGGACCCGUAAAUCCCUGGGUAAAUCCUGGCGCUCAACGUCAGGAAUUCCGGGGAGACUGCGGGUCUUGGGACCGGGAGAGGCCGGAGGUACUCCCGGGGUAGGGGUAAAAUCCUGUAAUCCCGGGGGGACCACCUGUGGCGAAAGCGUCCGGCCUGAACGGCUCCGACGGUGAGGGACGAAGGCCAGGGGAGCAAACCGGAUUAGAUACCCGGGUAGUCCUGGCUGUAAACGCUGCCCGCUUGGUGUUGUCGGUCUCUCGGGGGCCGGCAGUGCCGGAGCGGAGGUGUUAAGCGGGCCGCUUGGGGAGUACGGCCGCAAGGCUGAAACUUAAAGGAAUUGGCGGGAGAGCACUGUAACGGGAGGAGCGUGCGGUUUAAUUGGAUUCAACGCCGGAAAACUCACCGGGGGCGACCGGCACAUGUGGGCCAGGCUGACGACCUUGCCCGAAUAAGAGCCGGAGAGGUGGUGCAUGGCCAUCGUCAGCUCGUACCGUAGGGCGUUCACUUAAGUGUGAUAACGAGCGAGACCCCCGUCCCCAGUUGCCAUCUGUCCCUCCGGGGGCAGAGCACACUGGGGAGACCGCCAGCGCUAAGCUGGAGGAAGGUGGGGUCAACGGUAGGUCAGUACGCCCCGAAUCCCCCGGGCUACACGCGCGCUACAAAGGGCGGGACAAUGGGUUGCGACCCCGAAAGGGGGAGCUAAUCCUGAAACCCGUCCGUAGUUCAGAUCGAGGGCUGUAACUCGCCCUCGUGAAGCUGGAUUCCGUAGUAAUCGCGGGUCAACAUCCCGCGGUGAAUGCGCCCCUGCUCUUUGCACACACCGCCCGUC